rnacentral:rRNA from 1 species
GCUUGCUUGUUGGGGUUGUAGGACACUCUAUACGGAGUUACAAAGGACGACAUUAGACGAAUCAUCUGGAAAGAUGAAUCAAAGAAGGUAAUAAUCCUGUAGUCGAAAAUGUUGUCUCUCUUGAGUGGAUCCUGAGUACGACGGAGCACGUGAAAUUCCGUCGGAAUCUGGGAGGACCAUCUCCUAAGGCUAAAUACUCUCUAGUGACCGAUAGUGAACCAGUACCGUGAGGGAAAGGUGAAAAGCACCCCGGAAGGGGAGUGAAAUAGAACCUGAAACCGUGUGCUUACAAGUAGUCAGAGCCCGUUAAUGGGUGAUGGCGUGCCUUUUGUAGAAUGAACCGGCGAGUUACGAUUUGAUGCAAGGUUAAGCAGUAAAUGUGGAGCCGUAGCGAAAGCGAGUCUGAAUAGGGCGUUUAGUAUUUGGUCGUAGACCCGAAACCAGGUGAUCUACCCUUGGUCAGGUUGAAGUUCAGGUAACACUGAA